AUGGACCUUUGCUUCGACUCGUUCAUAGCAGAAGCAAUUACAGUGAGGUUUGGUUUGAAUCUUUCUAAUACUGUCGGAUGUAGUAAGAUUGAAGUGAAUUCGGAUAGCGUGGAGGUGGUGAACGUGUUGAGCCAAGGCUACUCUUCUUCAGUCGCUUCAUCCAUUAUAAACGACUGUUAUUUCAUGUCACUAGGUUUUCCCCAUGUCAUUUAUGAUCAUUGUAAUAGGGAACAUAAUCGAGUAGCUCAUGAACUAGCAAGGUUAGCUAGGUUUUCUUCUUCGAGUGUUUGGAUGGAUAACACCCCUAAUGAGGUUAUCCCUUUACUUGUAAACAAUGCUACUUUACUUAUGAAUGAAUAA
rnacentral:rRNA from 1 species